rnacentral:rRNA from 1 species
UACGGAGGGGGCAAGCGUUGUUCGGAAUUACUGGGCGUAAAGGGCUCGUAGGUGGCCAACUAAGUCAGACGUGAAAUCCCCAGGCUCAACUUGGGAACUGCGUCUGAUACUGGAUGGCUUGAAUUCGGGAGAGGGAUGCAGAAUUCCAGGUGUAGCGGUGAAAUGCGUAGAUAUCUGGAGGAAUACCGGUGGCGAAGGCGGCAUCCUGGACCGAGAUUGACACUGAUGAGCGAAAGCUAGGGGAGCAAACGGG